UACGUAGGGCGCAAGCGUUAUCCGGAAUUAUUGGGCGUAAAGAGCUCGUAGGCGGUUUGUCGCGUCUGCCGUGAAAGUCCGGGGCUCAACUCCGGAUCUGCGGUGGGUACGGGCAGACUAGAGUGAUGUAGGGGAGACUGGAAUCCUGGUGUAGCGGUGAAAUGCGUAGAUAUCUGGAGGAACACCGGUGGCGAAGGCGGCAUCCUGGACCGGUAUUGACACUGAGGCGCGAAAGCCAGGGGAGCAAACGGG
rnacentral:rRNA from 1 species